rnacentral:rRNA from 1 species
AGCCUACGAUCUUUAUCUGGUUUGAGAGGAUGAUCAGAAACACUGGGACUGAGACACGGCCCAGACUCCUACGGGAGGCAGCAGUGGGGAAUCUUGGACAAUGGGCGCAAGCCUGAUCCAGCCAUGCCGCGUGAGUGAAGAAGGCCUUAGGGUUGUAAAGCUCUUUCAGGGGUGAGGAUUAUGACAGUAACCCCAGAAGAAGCACCGGCUAA